rnacentral:snoRNA from 1 species
CCCAGCUGUAGGCAACUGCUUAGGUUGCCUCGUACAUAUGCAAGCGCUACACUGCUGGGAGAAAAGCAGCCAGUAGCUGGUAGGCACUCUGGGCUUGGUUAAUGCCAAGCAGUGUGCCAUAGCAGUGUGCCAGCAUA